GACGAACCGUGCGAACGUUGUUCGGAUUCACUGGGCUUAAAGGGCGCGUAGGCGGGCGACCAAGUCCGGGGUGAAAUCUUUCGGCUCAACCGGAAGAGUGCCUUGGAUACUGGUUGCCUCGAGGGAGGUAGGGGCAUGCGGAACUUCCGGUGGAGCGGUGAAAUGCGUAGAUAUCUGGAAGAACACCAAAGGCGAAGGCAGUGUCCUGGGUGGUCGCUGACGCUGAGAGGCGAAAGCCAGGGGAGCGAACGGG
rnacentral:rRNA from 1 species